UACGGAGGGGCUAGCGUUGUUCGGAAUUACUGGGCGUAAAGCGCACGUAGGCGGCUUUGUAAGUUAGAGGUGAAAGCCCGGGGCUCAACCCCGGAAUUGCCUUUAAGACUGCAUCGCUUGAAUUGUGGAGAGGUAAGUGGAAUUCCGAGUGUAGAGGUGAAAUUCGUAGAUAUUCGGAAGAACACCAGUGGCGAAGGCGACUUACUGGACACA
rnacentral:rRNA from 1 species